rnacentral:snoRNA from 1 species
GAAUGGAAGUGAGAAUGAGAGAGAAGAUGAGAUUGGGAGGGAAGAUGAGAGGGGAGGAUGGGAGGGAGGAGUAACGAAAGUGAAAACAAACACUAAAAACUGAAAUCUAUUUGAAAUUGUUUUCACCUUCAAGUUUUUGUUUUCACUUUUGUUACUCCUCCCUUCCAUCCUCCCCUCUCAUCCUCUCUCUCUCUCUCUCAAUCUCAACCUCACUCCCAUUUC